rnacentral:lncRNA from 1 species
ACAUACACUCAGAGACUGAAAUCAUGAAUAAGACCUCCCAUGAAAGAACAAGAAGUCUUUGGGGAGAGGAAGAGGGCACAGGGAACUGGGGAGAGAAAAAAAUGACCCUGGGCCCAAUGUGGUUGGCACAACUGGAAUCGGUGGUAGCAUGGAAAUACUGCCAGUCACAGAAGGGGAUCUGGCCCUGUUGAAGAACCAAGGACAGAAUACUCAACUCCAACACAGUCAGAAGCAAUCUGAAGAAACACAAGAGGUACAGGUAUCUAGCAUCUGGAAAAGAUCAUGUCUCAUAGGCACUUCAUGCGAAGAGGGUGUAAGUACUUCUUUGUCCUACACAUGUAACUCCAGCGGGCUAUUGGCCUUGCUCUCCAGAUAGAAGGGAUCCAUUGCCUUUAAAUUGUAACAUCAUGGAGCAAUUAAAGAGAAAAAGUCUCUAUACUGAUAAUCUGUUUCCCAAUCAUUCAGUUUUUCUGAUUGAAACUGCAAACAGUGUGUGAAAGAAUAGACUAAAGAAGAAUGCAUAGAAGGAAGUAGGAAUAAAUACAUCCAUUACACUGUCUGAACA